rnacentral:rRNA from 1 species
GAUGAACGCUGGCGGCGUGCUUAACACAUGCAAGUCGAACGAUUAAACUGGCUUCGGCCAGAUAUAGAGUGGCGAACGGGUGAGUAACACGUGACCAACCUGCCCCGCGCUCCGGGACAACCGCUGGAAACGGCGGCUAAUACCGGAUGCUCCGGGGAGGCCCCAUGGCCUCCCCGGGAAAGCCUUAACGGCGCGGGAUGGGGUCGCGGCCCAUUAGGUAGACGGCGGGGUAACGGCCCACCGUGCCCGCGAUGGGUAGCCGGACUGAGAGGUCGACCGGCCACAUUGGGACUGAGAUACGGCCCAGACUCCUACGGGAGGCAGCAGUGGGGAAUUUUGCGCAAUGGGGGAAACCCUGACGCAGCAACGCCGCGUGCGGGACGAAGGCCUUCGGGUUGUAAACCGCUUUCAGCAGGGAAGACUUUGACGGUAC